UACCCCCGGUCCCUAUCUCAUCGAAAUCUUCUCCAUCAAUACCCAGUCCUUCAUCAGAGAAAGAAAAUGGAGUACAUUUCGAAACCAGAGUUGUUACCCUUCUUGAGAAUCGACAACUCAGAAGAGAAAGAAGAUUGUUUGCUUCUUCUUAGAUGAUUUGAUUCGGUUUCUACCACUCUGUUUCAACUUAAAAAAGGCAAUUUCAGAUAAUAAGGCCCCUGAGAAUGCUGCAUUUCAGUUGUUCGUUGUUUGGUCUGUGUCAUUUACUCCUAUCUACUCCUCAUUGAGCUGGGCAUCAGAAACCUUUUCUUUUUGACACAGGAUACCUUUGAAGCUGCCCAGUCUUGGCAUUUUGGUUCCGUAAGAACAAAGAACAGCACUGAUGAUCACAUUACUAGCGCAGGCUACUUACCUGGACACCCUAAUUACAAUGGAAAACAGGUCACAUGAUCAUUGGUGUCUUUGAUUUGACUGACAACAUAAAAAGAAGGAUGUUACUUUUACUUUGUGGUGUUGGCAACUAUUUACAGUUCUACUCCUCUUUCUUUCUUGUGCUCUCAUUAGAAGGGAUAAGGAUGAACUGUAAAAACUUUCAACAAAGUAGAAAAAAGUGACUGACAUAAAAUUAUUAAAAUUAGAGAAUCUAAGAAAGUAAAAUGCAGAUGUGGGAGACAGAUUAGCCUACCAUUAAGGAUUGUUAAUUCCUUUUCAAAUUAAAAAAGAAAAAUAAUAAACCCUCAAGAAUGCUCAAUUAACGAAAGAGCAUACUUGAAUUUUCAUGGAGCUAAAUUGUUGUUGUUCUCAUUCAAGAGUGCUUUAACAACUCCUAAGAAGCAUAAGCGCGUACGAACUAGACAACACUUGACAAAGACGGGAUCAGGAUUGAAGGUAAGAACUGACAAAAAGAAAGGGAAAAAAAAUUUAGAAGGACUUUAUGAAAAUAAAAGCAAAAAAGUUGUGGCACGUGGGGGCAACUGCCCCAGUGUGUAUAUCUUGGGGAAUCUGUCUCCUGGUUGAAAAUAAACCAAAGCCUGCAGACACAACAAGCGCAUCUGGUGUAGUGGUAUCAUAGUACCCUCCCACGGUACUGACCAGGGUUCGAUUCCCUGGAUGCGCAUUUUUUUUUCUGGUUUUCUUCUUUUUAUUUUUUUGCUAGAAAUUUUCAUGCAAGUACUGAUGGCAUUGGCCGUAGCACAAAUGGCAUAAGCUCAUCAACUUGGUAAGAAGGAUUGCAGAGCUCCUCCCAUCUUCUGUUGCACAUAUCGUAUGCCCAAAUAUACUUUUGAUAACCAAUUACAACAACAUUUUUAUCGAACGGAUCGAAGCACCAAACCUGGACUAAUCUAAGUGAAUUAACCCUUUGUCCUUCAUCCAACAAUUGAGGUUCUAGUUUUGACAAAUCUUCAUGAAGUUUGAUAUCCAUUUCUUCUAGGAAAUCGCUUAAAUCGAUAUCUUCAUGCAACAAGUGCCAGUCCUCCUCCUGCAGCACCCAAACACACAAAGUCUUUGUCUUUCUCUUAAUCCUGGCAUAACAGAUCAAGCCUUCCGACUCCCCAAGACAGACUACGGUAAUAAUCAGUCGGACUGAAAAAAAGUUCGUCGUAAUCAGCUAACGCCUUGUCAGGCAAGUUGAGGAACUUACAUUCUGAGCCACAACUUCCAUCGUUGUUGUUCUUCAGGUCGUAAACAAGGACUCUUCCAUGGGAUUCAACCCAAUACAAAUUUCCCCUGUGCAUAACUGUCCUGGGCGUCUCCAGGUGACAGAUUGAGGGCACGAAACUUCAUAGACCACCCAUUCGCCCAAAUCCGAAGAAAAUACUUCAAUGCUCAAUUUGUUCUUAUUUUCUCCAAAGUCAGGGAUACGCACAACCUUGUAACAACUAGUGGAAACGAACGAGGACCGCAAAAUUGGCUCGCAGAUGAAACCAUGAAUAGCCCAUGCACUGUCGGACGGAGGCGAAACCCAUUUCUUAGUCGGUGGAUUACAAACGUAAUAUUGCAGCGGUCUGACGAAACACCAUAAAACCAAACCAUAACUUGAACCCAAAAGCAUUAAUUUUUUUGCUUCAAUUUCAGCAUUACUGUUUUGAGGAUACUGGUAUUGGUUUUAUUAACCGAAAUGAGAAUCCGGUAUGAGAAGAUGAAAACAAUUGGGAUGAUUGCAUAUGAUUAUCACUGUACGCUAAUGCGAAUGUAGGGAUAUCUGGAAGACGAAGUGCAGGUAAUCUGACAGUAUAAACUAAUGUCCACGGAAAUGAUUUGUUUAAGGUGUUGUCGAGUUUUAUCCAUUUGCGUAUGAAAUUUGAGUUAGUGAGAUGUGAAUCCAUACCUUUGAUACACACUUGAAUUUGAAGAUCGAGUUAAGAGGAAGACGAAGAAAGAUUUCAAACCAUAUAUCAUCUGUUAUAGUAAGAAAUCUUUCAAUGGUUGAUGAUUCUUCACAUGAAUCAACUAG